rnacentral:rRNA from 1 species
UAGCGGCGGACGGGUGAGUAACACGUGGGUAACCUGCCUGUAAGACUGGGAUAACUCCGGGAAACCGGGGCUAAUACCGGAUGGUUGUCUGAACCGCAUGGUUCAGACAUAAAAGGUGGCUUCGGCUACCACUUACAGAUGGACCCGCGGCGCAUUAGCUAGUUGGUGAGGUAACGGCUCACCAAGGCGACGAUGCGUAGCCGACCUGAGAGGGUGAUCGGCCACACUGGGACUGAGACACGGCCCAGACUCCUACGGGAGGCAGCAGUAGGGAAUCUUCCGCAAUGGACGAAAGUCUGACGGAGCAACGCCGCGUGAGUGAUGAAGGUUUUCGGAUCGUAAAGCUCUGUUGUUAGGGAA